rnacentral:tRNA from 1 species
CGGAGUGUAGCUCAGACUGGUAGAGCACUCGGUUCGGGGCCGAGUGGCCGGGGGUUCAAUUCCCCCCACUCCGA